UACGGAGGGUGCGAGCGUUGUCCGGAAUCACUGGGCGUAAAGGGCGCGUAGGCGGCCCGUCAAGCGUGUGGUGAAAGCCCGGGGCUCAACCCCGGGUCGGCCGUGCGGACUGGCGGGCUCGAGCACUGUAGGGGCGGGUGGAAUUCCGGGUGUAGCGGUGGAAUGCGUAGAGAUCGGGAAGAACAUCAGUGGCGAAGGCGGUCUGCUGGGCCGUUGCUGACGCUGAGGCGCGACAGCGUGGGGAGCAAACAGG
rnacentral:rRNA from 1 species